AUGAAUAGGGGAGAAAUAUCAAGUCACAGGCUACGCUGGUUGGGUGUGAAAUCCCUUACGGCUGCUUUAUACAGACAUGAUUCCUUCUGGUGAUGGAUUGAAGCUGUGAAGUGUAAAGAGAUGAACCGUCUGUAAGAUUAUAUUUUGCUUUCUAGACCUGAUCCAUGCUUUCUUCUGGUCGGGAGAAUGGCAGAAUACUGAAUGUAUGGACCUGUAUGGUCAUCUUUGUCCGAC
rnacentral:lncRNA from 1 species